rnacentral:lncRNA from 1 species
CUGUUCCUCGAGUUCCCUCGUCUCCAUAUUUGCUUUCAUCAGUAGAAUUGUCUAUGGUGUAGAACAAUGGCGCCACUGAGAAGUGAGAAUAGCGCCAAUUUUUGGCGCCAAAACCAGUGCUUCCACAGCCCAAUUCUCUUAAAAUUUCAAUAAAAUUUCCCGUAAAUUUCAUAUUUUAAUAUUUUCCAUUUUUCCUGUAAUUUAUAUUAUCGGCCGUUUCGUUUCGGUCGUUUCGUUUCGGCCGUUUCGUUUCGGUCGUUUCGUUUCGGUCGUUUCGGUCGUUUCGUUUCGGUCGUUUCGUUUCGGUGGUUUCGAUGGUUUCGGCCGUUUCGUUUCGGUCGUUUCGUUUCGACGUUUCGCCUUUUAGUACAUGCCCUGAGCUACACACUUCCGUUACAAGUUUUGAUUUUUGAACGUCAAAACCGAUAAGGUUAAUAUCCUGGCUUUGAUUUCUGCAUACAAAAACUUUAAAACAUUGCGUAGAAACGUGACUGAAUGGAUAUUUAAAACGAGUAUCUAUUUCAUGAAAUAAUGGGCCGUGUUUCAUCUUAAUGGAUAAUGGAAAUGGACCGCCCGCCCGCGUGUAAUUUGAAAUAAGGGCCGGACGGGAAACUAAAGUCUAAUUUGGAGUGGCCUUACAUUACAUUUGGUGAUUGGGAAAACACUUAGACUCUUAGUUAAAUAUUUCCGUGUAAUUUAAAUUAAAACUUAAUCGAGAUAAUAUAAGGAAAUACGAAAAAUACAAUGGACUUACCUUUAUGCUUCAAGAACUGUAACAAACCAAUGUAACAUAAUCAGACAGUUUCAGUUGCAAUAUUAAACUACAGUGGACAAUUAGUCUCGCUGCGUGCGUUUAUUUACAACUGUGUUGAGAAAGUUACUUCCGGGUUUAUAACAGCGUAGGUUACAAAUCAAAUAAUAUUUGAUUAAUAUUAAUAUUAUUUUAUCUUGUGAACAAUCUUGGAACUGUUUUUUUCUUUACGUGCUAGACCACGACAUAAUUCGUCGCAGGCACUCUAGAAACGAUUACGCUUACCAUCCUGCAUUCUAACCUUUUUCAGCUGAUUUUCCAUUCAACGACAACGUUUUUAUUUAUAUUUGUAUAGCAUUUGCAUAUCUGCAUGAUUGUGUUUUUCAUAGUGUAAAUUUGAGUUAAUUUAAAAACGCAUGACCGAUAUUUAAGAGUGAAGCGUGUGUUCUCAGUGAAGACUACAGGAAACACAGAAUCGUUUUGAAAAAAAUUUAAGAAAUAAUAUUCACAGUGUCACGCUCCAGUUAAUACGAACCACUCAUGCAAUGGGCAAUUCCAGCUAUAGAUCAUAUAGACUAAAUUUUGAUCUAGGCAAGAAGAACAGAAUCCAUCUAGAAAGAGCAUGUUAAAAUUAGUAAAAUUGCAAAGUUUGGCCGCGAAAUGUUGCAAUAUGAGGAAAAUAAUAGCAAUACGAAAUUUGCAAAUUUUGUAUACCACAUUUGGGCCGAAAGUGGUGCAAUUGACCACUUGCGCAAUAGGCUAAAUUUUGAUCUCAACAAAAAUUUCAUCACAGCUUGAAAGAGCAUCACAAAAUUAGUUAUAUUCCAAAGUUUCGUUGCGCAAUG